AUUGAACGCUAACGGCGUGCUUAACACAUGCAAGUCGAGCGGCAGCAUGAUCUGUAGCAAUACAGAUUGAUGGCGAGCGGCGGACGGGUGAGUAAUGCAUAGGAAUCUGCCUUGUAGUGGGGGAUAACCCGGGGAAACUCGGGCUAAUACCGCAUAAUCUCUACGGAGCAAAGUGGGGGAUCGUAAGACCUCACGCUAAAAGAUGAGCCUAUGCUGGAUUAGCUAGUUGGUGAGGUAAUGGCUCACCAAGGCGACGAUCCAUAGCUGGUCUGAGAGGAUGAUCAGCCACACUGGGACUGAGACACGGCCCAGACUCCUACGGGGGGCAGCAGUGGGGAAUAUUGGACAAUGGGCGAAAGCCUGAUCCAGCAACGCCGUGGGUGUGAAGAAGGCCUUCGGGUUGUAAAGCACUUUUAGUUGGGAAGAAAAGCUCAUGGGUAAUAUCCAUGAGUGCUGACGUUACCAACAGAAAAAGCACUGGCUAACUCUGUGCCAGCCGCCGCAGUAA
rnacentral:rRNA from 1 species